UUCAGUGAGGACAAAAAUCAAAAGAGAAAAAUAAAAAACUAUACAUAACACAUGACAACAUAGAAGGAAGAUACAUGCUCCUCUUAACUUCUACUCUUUAUCCAAAGCCUACUGAAAUUCCCUGCCUUCAACAGACUUUGGGUCUUGAAUGCAUCAUGGUGUGAGAAACUGUUUUCUUUCUGGAUGAAGCUGAAGCAGAAGCCUCUCCCUAAUUCAUGUCCCACAACAUUGGAAAGCAGGAAGCUGAACCUACAUGCAGAGAGAACCUAAUAUUUAUGCCCUUCAAAACUGCUCAGCAACAUUGGCAAAUCACCUCAGGCAAUUGCAUUUCAUGGAAGUCCCAGGCAGCUGUCUAUCUUGGAGCAUUUUCUGUUCUCUGCAAAGCUGGUGAGGCUUUUCUGCCUGCACAUUUGAACCUCACUUCAAAUGACAAGAAACAACAGCAGCUGCGUUACAGAGCAUGCAUUAGAAAACACACACAUGCUUCUUCUGUAUGGAAUCCAAACUUGGGCACCCAAAAUAGCUUCUGUAGGCAAUUUAAUUUAAACUUUUCCAAUAUAACUUGUAUUCGGUUUUGUUUUCAAUCUGACUUACAAGACCUGAGAGCUCUGUAACACUGCAUAUGGAUUUCUUUUAUGAACAGAAUUAAAAAUUUUGAGCAGAAGGUCAUGGUGCUGUGCUAUUCCAUUUGUGUCACUUUCUAGGUACAUUUAUAAGAAACUGUAUCAUAUAUAUUUACUGAAUUGUAUUCCGUAUUACAUUAGGCAGUAUUACAACACACCACCAUGUUAAAGCUAUCUAAAACCCACCUUAAGAGGCAGCACUAAAAGGAAGUUAAAUGAAAUUACUCCUUAAGGUAGAACAAAUUUACUUCUUCACACCCAACUUCAAGGGCUUCACUGUGGGUGAGAAAGGAGUGGCCAAAGGCCAGAGACAGUGGUCUGAAGGAGAAGAAUAGGCAAAGAAUAAAUAAACUGCAUAAAGAAGGCCCUUGAAUAGUAAACCCCUUAGUCAGGCCUUUAUAGAAAACAUGGGCUGGGGGGGAAAACUGGGAAGGCUUAAAUGAAGAGGCCCACAUCAGUGAAAAUUGUAAAGGACUACCGCAUGGGAAACGGAGAGAUGGGAAAGGAACUACUUCUAAGGAACAGAAAUGGGAAGACAUAGCAGUAAGGGGAGAGGUAGGCAACUUAAGGAGAUGGUAGAGGAAUAAAAUAUUUCCUACAACCCUUCAAAACUGUAGAGGCCAUCUGCAGUAAUACAGGUAAUCUAAAAUCAAUUAUGAUUGCUACAUACAUUUCCUUAUCUUUAUCACUGUGCUAAAUAUAAUUCAAUAAGGAAUAUGAGUAAUUCUGAUUUAGUAUAAGAAUGAAAUAUCUGAGGGAGGAAAUUUCAGUGGAAUGUGGUUCAACAUCAAAAAAGAAUCAGCAAUGCAAAUCAGACGAUGUGAUAACUGGGGAAUGCUAAAAGGAAACUGCAUGAGAAUCUCAGACACCCUGUCAUUUCUGGAAAACGUGAUCAACAGAAGAUGAGUAUUAUAUUCAUUUUUUAAAAAAAAAAAGAAUAGCAGAUAGUAACAGGUA